UACAGAGGUCUCAAGCGUUGUUCGGAUUCAUUGGGCGUAAAGGGUGCGUAGGUGGCGCCGUAAGUCGGGUGUGAAAUUUCGGAGCUUAACUCCGAAACUGCAUUCGAUACUGCGGUGCUUGAGGACUGGAGAGGAGACUGGAAUUCAUGGUGUAGCGGUGGAAUGCGCAGAUAUCAGGAGGAACACCAAUAGCGAAGGCAGCUCGCUGGGACGGUACUGACGCUAAGGCGCGAAAGCGUGGGGAGCGAACAGG
rnacentral:rRNA from 1 species